AUUGAACGCUGGCGGCAUGCCUUACACAUGCAAGUCGAACGGCAGCACGGGGGCAACCCUGGUGGCGAGUGGCGGACGGGUGAGUAAUGCAUCGGAACGUGCCCUGAAGUGGGGGAUAACGCAGCGAAAGCUACGCUAAUACCGCAUAUUCUGUGAGCAGGAAAGCAGGGGAUCGCAAGACCUUGCGCUUUGGGAGCGGCCGAUGUCGGAUUAGCUAGUUGGUGGGUAAAGGCCUACCAAGGCGACGAUCCGUAGCGGGUCUGAGAGGAUGAUCCGCCACACUGGGACUGAGACACGGCCCAGACUCCUACGGGAGGCAGCAGUGGGAAUUUUGGACAAUGGGCGAAAGCCUGAUCCAGCC
rnacentral:rRNA from 1 species